rnacentral:lncRNA from 1 species
AAACACAGAGACAGAGCGGAACGAGGAUGAAAAUCCUCUUCCUUGGACGCGAUGCCUUCAUCAAUGAGAAGGAUCGAGCGGGUAGAUCUGAUGCUUCAUUUGAGUGGGGAGGAAGAAAAAGAUGAGGUUUGUCGUUUUUUAUUAUUAUUUGUGAUUGAUUUCUUCCUGGUUUCGGGUUUCAUUUGACAUAUAUAAGUUUCUCUUGCUGAGCAGCUCUCAAACUCUUCAAUCGAGUAGCACAUUAUGAAGAUGUUGAUCAGUUUGGUGGUGGUCUUUUAGAUUUUGUUGUUCUUGUUCCGGGAGCGUCAAUGGACCUGAAGAAGGUUCCAAAGUUAAUUGACGCUCCCGUGUGGGGUUGGAAUUAGAAUUCACAUGAUAGGUGUCCCAAUUAUAGUUAAAUCAAGUUGUCACUUUCAUGUCAUGUUAUAUUCCAGUUAUAGUUCAG